GAUUGUUUUUUCUUCCUCACAUCCUGACUCCUGGUAGGAGGCUACCCAUCAGGAUCUAUUUUGCCUUGUGGCGAGGUUGCAGGAUUGGGAAAUGCUCUGAAAGGACAAUUGCAUAGGCAAUGAGGAAGAAUGGAAGAACAGGAUGUUCAUCGCGAAUGUACAAUGUUCCAAUCAUACAGGCUGCUUGUUGUUGAAUAGAGAUGAUGAUCUCCAGAAAAUUUGGAGCAGAAUUCAGAAAAAGGGGAACUGUGUUUUGCUGGCUGGGUCAACAUUUGUUACACAUCCUUAAUUACCCCUGGGAGGUUGGUAUGAGGUGCCUUCUUGCACUACUGCAGCCCAAGUCAUAAUACGGCAAGGUCCCACAGUCAUCCACGCUUUCCAAAAUUCUGAAGGAACUGAGCAAUUCAGUCUGCAUCAAUGAAGUCACACCAGCAACAACAUUUCAAGUCCAGUAUGACGCUUCUUUUGAACUGGCUGGUUUACCCACUGAAGAUUUUUAUUUUAGGGUAAUGCAGAUGAAUCCACUAGCUUUCAGAAUGUAAAUUUUGACCUGUCUCUGAUUUCACUUGCCAGUGCAUUUUCAAAUGUUCUCCUUCACUAACAUUAACCUGAAGCUGCACUGAAGAAAAUGUUUUAAUCCCUUGAUUUGGUGAAAGCCUGGCACUCUCUACAGCAAUUGAUGCAGGUAAGUUUGUGUUAGAGCUCUGCUGGUUCAGUAGCACAUUUUCAGUUGGGCCUGGUGCAACUCCUGCCAUGAUCUAAUCUGUCCACGGUGAACUACACCUGUUGAGAUUGCUGGAGCAAAUUACUGUUGGUGCUGGAUUCUGUACUGACAACAACAAAUGCUGGAGAUCACAGCAGGUUAGACAGCAUUCGUGAAGGGAGAGCAAGCCAAUGUUUCAUGUCUAGAUGACUCUUCAUCAUGAAAAUGUUAGUAUUUAUUGUAAAGGUUCCGAUAGCUGGACAUUUUGGAUAAUGAUUGUAUUUGCAGAGUCAAAGUAGAUUUAGAAAAGGAAAAAAAUGUUUAUGAAAUCUAUUGGAGUUUUAGGAUAAUGUAUCAACCAGGAAACUUAAGUCCAUCUCAUGGAUGUUGUGUAUUGGGAUUUUGAGCAGCUUUUUGAUCAGGUGUCAUAUAAAUGGAUUUUUAUAAAAUUCACACACUUGGGAUUAGUGUUAAUAUUUUGCAUGCAUUGCUUUUUCAAUGAAAGGGAACAAAUAGGA